CUGCCUCGCCGCUGGACUACUCAGCCUGCUAUGGCUCCACCCAAGCAGGGCAUGGAGAGAGUAAUUAUGUUCCCCGCAAAGCAGCUUCCACCUCCUCCACCGGACACUGCUUUUGGAAACCUGAGCUGACAGUCUGCUGCUGGGAAUGUGUAACCUGUACCCCGUAAUCUGGGCUUCUAGAAGAAUUCCCACCCAUCGAACACAGGACUGGACAGCUGCCCUGAG
rnacentral:lncRNA from 1 species